GGCGAAUGUGUGCCUGUAUAUAAUGCAAAUGAAUUGGUAUUUUUUUUCUUCAAAUAAUAUGAAAAUAAGAUGUGGUACAAAUGCAAAUUAUACCACUAUCAGUCACAGUUUUACAAGGUAGAUUGAGUGGGGUUUUUUUUAUCUUUUGAACUUCCGUUCCUUCUGGUCAUAUUGCAAAAAUAUGGUUCUGUUAUUGAGAGUAGGGGAGAUAACGCGUGUAACUAACGACGCACGUUUUUUUUUUUUGUCACAAUUUCCUCUGGAGGCGUGCAAAACGUUU
rnacentral:lncRNA from 1 species